CGCUGGCGGCGUGCCUAACACAUGCAAGUCAAAGGAAAGCGGCUUCGGCCGGGAGUACUUGGCGCAAGGGUGAGUAAUGUAUAGGUAAUCUGCCCUUUGGACUGGGAUAACCUCGAGAAAUCGAGGACAAUACCAGAUGAUGCAGCGGAACCGCAUGGUUAUGUUGUUAAAGAUUUAUCGCCAAGGGAUGAGCCUAUAUUCCAUCAGGUAGUUGGCAGGGUAAAAGCCUACCAAGCCUACGACGGAUAGCUGGUCUGAGAGGAUGAUCAGCCACAUUGGAACUGAGACACGGUCCAGACUCCUACGGGAGGCAGCAGUGAGGAAUAUUGCGCAAUGGGCGAAAGCCUGACGCAGCAACGCCGCGUGGAACGAUGAAGUUCUUCGGAAUGUAAAGUCCUUUUGCAGGGGAAGAAUCUGCCGGUAUACCGGCAUUGACGGUACCCUGCGAAUAAGCCACGGCUAACUCUGUGCCAGCCGCAGC
rnacentral:rRNA from 1 species